rnacentral:lncRNA from 1 species
AAACAACUGCUUCCAUUCUAUUUCUCACAAUUGAAUGGUUUAGUUCUACACAAUUUAUUAAACAAUUAUUCAGAGAAAGGCCCCUCAAUGACACCGUUUGCUUCUAACUUCUCCAUCACUUUUUGGUACGUCAUGUUUAAAUUUUGCAAUGGAAUACUUGAUCCUUUCUUAUGAUCUUGUUGCUAACUCAAAUGGACAUCUCUUAUAUUGCUAAUUACAGAAAUUUAUAAGCACAUACUUAAUAUUGCUCUCCUGUCAUGAAGAAACAACCCACCAAUAGCGGUUUCCUGAGUGUUCCAUGGUGCAUGCAUUUUUCUUUUGAUUUUUGUUUCAGUGCAAUAAACAAUUCUUUAGUGAUUUUAUAUUUAUCCAUUGUUUCUAUUAUAUCCUUCAUUUCUUUCCUAUUAUGUUCUCAACAAAAAUUUGUUCUUCAAUUUUGCCUUCAUUAUUGUAGGGGAGGCGUGGCCUAGAUAGUGAGAUAGGGAACCAGGGACAUCGUGUCACAUUCUUUUUCUAGGGUAAUGUGCAACAGGUAAAAUACAAACACCAACUUCAGUGCUUGCAGGUCGGGUUUUUAUGUACGACACACUUCAGAAAGGAUUUGGUGACCGAUGAUUGGAAUCCCUAGAGAAAUGUUGUUUCUUUUGAGCAAUUAAAUGUUGUUGUUGACUUUUGUCUUCCACA